rnacentral:rRNA from 1 species
UACGAAGGGGGCUAGCGUUGCUCGGAAUGACUGGGCGUAAAGGGCGCGUAGGCGGCUGACACAGUCAGAUAUGAAAUUCCCGGGCUUAACCUGGGGGCUGCAUUUGAUACGUGUUGUCUAGAGUGAGGAAGAGGGUUGUGGAAUUCCCAGUGUAGAGGUGAAAUUCGUAGAUAUUGGGAAGAACACCGGUGGCGAAGGCGGCAACCUGGUCCUUGACUGACGCUGAGGCGCGAAAGCGUGGGGAGCAAACAGG